GCACGGUUGGCGCAGUGGUUAGCGUGCGCACUUCACAACGCAGUGCGAGACCCGGGUUCGAAUCCCGGACUGUGCA